GGGUUUUAAACUUUGGGUUGGAGUAAUUUGAAGAUGGCCCUUCUGUCUCAGAAAUCUUCACUCUUGACUCAAACAUUGUUUUUUUUUUAAGGGUUGUGUAUUACGCAGACUGACAGCUGAUUCUGACGUUUUGGAUAAUAUAUAAUAUACUAUUCAAGCAUUUACAAUUUUCUUGUCAGAAGUUCAACCAGCAUUUGGUUAAUUUCUUUGAAUUUGAACCCCCAAGCCCACCUGGGAAUGGUUGUUUUCAUCAGAGAAGUACAGUGUAGUGUAACCAAGAGAUUCCAUAGGAUGAACUAAAAAAAACAUGCUCUCUGUGUAGCGGAAGAAUGCAGCUGUCGGUUGCAUUAAGAGAAGUUUGAAACCCGGCAAACAUGAGCAGUUGUCUGAGCUUCCUGAGGCAUGUCCUGUGCAAACACAACUGGAGAUUGCUGGUGCAGGUCCACAUUCACAGAGACCACAAGUACACAAGUGCACAUCCACAGACAUGCACCCUCACUCUCUCUCUCUCUCUCUCUCUCUCUCUCUCUCUCUCUCUCUCUCUCUUGCUCUCUUUCAGGUAGACACACACACACACACACAGACACACACACUUACAGCAAGCAUGCCCAUACUUGCGUACCAUAAAUAAACACAAGCACACACGUGUGAACACACAGACCACAUAAAUGCUGUUGUGUUUAUGUGCGGCAACAGCCCGACCCACUUCUGUACUGAUUACUGUACUUUAGCUGCUUUAAUAUUUACAGUUAAUCCUGUGAUCUGUGAGUGUGAUAACAGUCACAGUUUAUGGAAAAUAUAAGGCUGGGUCAUGCAUAUUAGAUAGAUUUAUUAGAAAGAUAAGUAUAGUGUCACACAUUUUGCUGCUUACUUCUCUAAUUUUCAGGUUGACUUUACCAGCCCUGCUCUUUUUUUUAAGCAUAAAUAACUUCAGUGCAGGGUGACAUUGGUAUGCCCUCAAAAUCAUUGACAUUGAAAAUGUGCCCUAACUUGAAUUGAAAGGAAACUUUUGAAACUUGAAUCUUUUGUGAUGUGUUAAAUGUUUUUUUGUCGAGAUCAUAUAAGGAUGACUUCUGGAUUGCACAGAAAGUUAAAGUUAGCUGGUAAGGCCACAGAGGAUCGUCCCUCUGCUGUGUGCAGUUUGUCUCUGUGUUGCUCUGUGCCAAGUGUGUGUGUGUGUGUGUGUGUGUGUGUGUGUGUGUGUGUGUGUGUGUGUGUGUGUGUGUGUGUGUGAGAGAAAGAGAGACUCCCCUUCCUAUCACUACAAACCCACAGUCCCCCCAGGCCCCUCUCUGCCUCAGUCUAGUAAACCACCUCUGGCACUUUUGGGCUUUGUUCAUAAUAUUUUUAUUGUAGCUUUGGCUUGCUUUCCAGGAAUUCCAUUCGCUGCAUGGUGAUUCUCGUUUUUUUCUUUUGCUCCUUCGUCAUUUUGAAUGUUGUCGUAUGAACAGUCCAAGUCAAAUAAAACCAACACAACCUGUGCUUAACACAUGUGUAAAUGCAUUUAUUUUCUUUUGAAUGCAUCCGUUAGGUGUCACUAUAUUUCAGCUUGUAUCCUUU